CUCAAAGUCACUCCUCAUAAAUCCUCAUUUGAACUCCCCUCUUCUUUCAUCUCACCAUGCGGAAAAAUCAAGAAAGUGAAAAAAUACCCAAAAUCACCGUCCUCGUGACAGCGCACUGACAUGUUUUUACCCCUAUCCUCUGUCCUCUUCUCACCUAAAAAAACAAAGGAACGAAAAUCAAGAAAAGCCUUUAUUCACCAAUCUGCAUGCCUAGUUUGGUGAAAAAGCCUCAGUGGAGUAUGUUGAGGAUGGCGGAGUCAAGGAGGCGCACGUGACUAAGCUUGAUGGUGCCCCUGUGCAGGACAACACCUGCAGGAGAAGCAGCGGUGGAGGUUGGUACAAUACAGAAAAAUUCGAGAAUGAAAAAAAUUGCUGCAUUGUGAUUUAUUGCAAAAACCUCUUUGGAAGAAACCAAAAACAUAAUCUGCCCCUGGAGAGGGACAAAUUGAUUCCAUAUUUAGGAUAAACUACAUACUGAUUCGUGGAUUGAAGAAGAUGAUAAGAGGACAUCAAGAUCAAUCAUGAUUCAGGUGCCUAAUGUCUAACUGAUAAUACACCAAAGAGAAAAUCAAAGGAGGAGAUACUACGUCUAAUGAAAGGAAAAACAAUUGAAAGAACAAAAGAAGCUGCUGUGAUGAAAAAAUAUAAGAAGGAGAUGUAGAAGUGGGAAAAGGGAAAAUAUGCUCUAAAAUCCAUUGUAGCUGAAAUUGAUAAAAAUGCGGUGGAACUAGGAUCAAUUGGAGUUUAGGACAUCUGGUCACAAGGUUUGCAGAAAAAAGGCUUACAUAUCGCAUAACGUCAAACCCCAUGGAAAGAACUAUUGUAUGAACUACGGUAGUUCCUGAAGAAAUUUCUAUGAUUUCUGAAGAUGCAUUUGGAGACAAGCACAAGAGAACUAGGAAGCAAAUGAGGAAAGCAAUAUCCAUAAAAGAAGAAAAAGGAAACAUAGAGAAAGAGGAAUGUGCGCACAAAAAAAAAAAGAAACAAAAAAAGCAAUAUAUACAAAAAAAAGAAGAACAAAAAGAUAAUAACAAA